rnacentral:pre_miRNA from 1 species
UUUUUAAUAUAAAUAUGUCCCAUGCAGUAUUUGGAAAGAUAAUGCUGUAUUUGGGACAUACUUAUACUAAAA